rnacentral:rRNA from 1 species
UACGUAGGGUGCGAGCGUUGUCCGGAAUUAUUGGGCGUAAAGAGCUUGUAGGCGGUUUGUCGCGUCUGCUGUGAAAAUCCGGGGCUCAACCCCGGACUUGCAGUGGGUACGGGCAGACUAGAGUGUGGUAGGGGAGACUGGAAUUCCUGGUGUAGCGGUGGAAUGCGCAGAUAUCAGGAGGAACACCAGCGGCGAAGGCGGCGCUCUGGGCCGGAACUGACGCUGAGGAGCGAAAGCGUGGGUAGCAAACAGG